rnacentral:rRNA from 1 species
UACGGAGGAUGCAAGCGUUAUCCGGAUUUAUUGGGCGUAAAGGGUGCGCAGGUUGUUUGAUAAGUCAGUGGUGAAAGUCUGUCGCUUAACGGUAGGAUUGCCAUUGAUACUGUUGGACUUGAAUAUGGAUGAGGUAGGCGGAAUGUGUAGUGUAGCGGUGAAAUGCAUAGAUAUUACACAGAACACCGAUUGCGAAGGCAGCUUACUAAUCCAUCAUUGACGCUGAGGCACGAAAGCGUGGGGAUCAAACA